GGGGAGCUUGCUCCCCCGGAUUAGUGGCGAACGGGUGAGUAACACGUGAGCAAUCUGCCCUUGACUCUGGGAUAAGCGCUGGAAACGGCGUCUAAUACCGGAUACGAGCUGCGAAGGCAUCUUCAGCAGCUGGAAAGAACUUCGGUCAAGGAUGAGCUCGCGGCCUAUCAGCUUGUUGGUGAGGUAAUGGCUCACCAAGGCGACGACGGGUAGCCGGCCUGAGAGGGUGACCGGCCACACUGGGACUGAGACACGGCCCAGACUCCUACGGGAGGCAGCAGUGGGGAAUAUUGCACAAUGGGCGCAAGCCUGAUGCAGCAACGCCGCGUGAGGGAUGACGGCCUUCGGGUUGUAAACCUCUUUUAGCAGGGAAGAAGCGAGAGUGACGGUACCUGCAGAAAAAGCACCGGCUAACUACGUGCCAGCAGCCGCGGUAAUACGUAGGGUGCGAGCGUUAUCCGGAAUUAUUGGGCGUAAAGAGCUCGUAGGCGGUCUGUCGCGUCUGCUGUGAAAACCCGAGGCUCAACCUCGGGCUUGCAGUGGGUACGGGCAGACUAGAGUGCGGUAGGGGAGAUUGGAAUUCCUGGUGUAGCGGUGGAAUGCGCAGAUAUCAGGAGGAACACCGAUGGCGAAGGCAGAUCUCUGGGCCGUUACUGACGCUGAGGAGCGAAAGCGUGGGGAGCAAACAGGCUUAGAUACCCUGGUAGUCCACGCCGU
rnacentral:rRNA from 1 species